UACGUAGGCAGCGAGCGUUGUUCGGAGUUACUGGGCGUAAAGCGCACGUAGGCGGUCGGCUAUGUCGGAUGUGAAAGCCUCGGGCUUAACCCGAGAAGGGCAUCCGAAACUGGCCGGCUUGAGUACGGAAGAGGGUCUCGGAAUUCCCGGUGUAGAGGUGAAAUUCGUAGAUAUCGGGAGGAACACCAGUGGCGAAGGCGGAGACCUGGGCCGAUACUGACGCUGAGGUGCGAAAGCGUGGGGAGCAAACAGG
rnacentral:rRNA from 1 species